UUUGAUAUUAGUGGUAACACGUAUGGUAACGCGUUGUUAAAAUUUGAAUUUGGAGCUAAAACAGGUAGCCCAUGCAUAUACAUUAAUUAAACUAAUCCGAAUGGCUAAUUUCCAGUUUGAGAACGAGGUUGUUUACAUUUUGGCGUUGUUCUUGAAUUUACAUAGUACAUUAAAAUAGAAAAAUCUGGAUUUGUGAUGGAUUGCGUGUUAUUCAUUAUCGAUAUAUUUUUUUCGAAUCGAAGGCAAGCUUGCGAAGGAAUGUUAGAUGCCUGUAAGGUAUGGAUUUUAACUUAACUUGGACAAACUAUCGCAUAAUAUAAUACUUGUAUAUCGGCAUGUAUACUAUGUAGUCCAAAUAUGUUAUGCAAAUUUUGUUCGUAUACAUUAACAUAAGCGCUGGCAAAGAAAAUAUUAUGCAAUAAAUAGCGAAAACCUGUGCUCGAUUUUCCCCAAUUUUCAGACAAUCGUCCACAAAAUAUUUGAGACAAACCCCCUCCCCCGAUUUCAAUGUUGUUAGGCACUACAAUAUAGUUUAAUUCCAACAUCAUAUGUUAAAUUUCAACUGCCAGUGACACAGUUGCGGUUCUAGUGUCACCUUAUGUUCGUUUUGGAUAAGUACAGUAGGUUUCAACAUUGAAAUAAGGGGGGAGGGGAUUGAUUUAAAAAGUCUCAAUAUAUUUUGUGGACGAUUGUCUUAAAAAUUGAUAAGACUUAGUUAAAAGCAUCUCGAAGUUUUUUUGAAAUCAUUUUGUGUGCAUGUGUAGUAGUCACUGUAGAUG